rnacentral:misc_RNA from 1 species
UACUCUUUGCUCAUAUGCAGUGCGAUCACGCAUCAUUACUGCAGCAGCUUCUCCAUUCAACGGAUCGGAAGGGUUGGGAUACAGGAGGAGUUGUGGAAGGAACACUUCGAAAACAUUUACAAGGUCAAACAUAGGGCUCCAUGUCUGGUUGAUAACAUCCAAACAAACAGAGCCCGACAUUUCAUCAACAUUUGGAUGAUAAAUUUUGUUGACAAAGCCAAUUGAAGGUGACUUGUAGGGAUAAGCAUCUGGCAACUCCACCCUAAUCCUCCACACACCACCUUGAUAAAGACUGUCUUUAGGUCCAUGGAAGUCCACAUAGAACUCUUGCAUGCUAUCAUUGAUUGUU